CUUAGCAAAUCUUCAGAAAUUUCCCAAAUCUUUUUAGGAUAUAUUGGCAUAAAGUAUUUUUAGUUUUCAUGUCUCAGUAUUCAGUCAUUAAGUGAAAUAGGAAAGCCCCUACUUUAAUAUUUUGUCUCAAGCACAGAUUGUCUGCUCUGGUUAUUAUAGUUGCUUGUGCCAAGACCUUCAUUUAAGUACAUCUGACUUGCUACAUGGAAUGUAAAAGUAAAUGAAAUAGAUUGUAUUUUCCCAAUAUGGCUAUACAAUAGCUCACAUCCCAUAUGUUCUUUUGAACAUGACUCCUCUGUCAUCCAUGUCUGGUACCUAACUGCCCUUUCCUUGAAUCUAGGUUGGUUUGUGAUUAAUUUGUAUCCAAUUAAAUUUAGCAGAAGUAAUGCAACAUAACUUCCAAGACCUAGUCAUAAAAUGCAUAUAAUUUCUGCCUUGCUGCCUAGGAAAUUUAUCUUUGGAUCCCUGAGCCAUGCUGUGAGAGUUACCUUAAGAGUGCCAUGCUAUGAGAAAGUGCAGGCCUCAGAGAGAGGCCAUGCGCGGGUUCUAGUCAACAGCCUUAACUGUGAUCCCAGGCAACAGUCAGCAUUGGCCGUUGGAGCUCUUUAGAUAAUUCCAGCUCCCUUUGUUCAAGUCACCCCAGCCUUUACACCUUUCCAGAUAAGGCUUUAGACACCGUGAGGGCUUCAGUGAUCCUAAGGUUGUUGAAUUCAGUGGAAACCUUUCAGUAGCACUUGAUACUGCAGAUCUCCAUUCUUCUCUUCAUUGUCAGGAUAUCAGGCAGUCUGUAUUCCCUUCUCGCUGUCUGUUACGGCUCAUUACCAUGCCACUUGCUUGGUACUCCUCCAGUAGAUUUCCAAAUGCUGGAAGUAUUAAAAAUGAAUGAAUAAAUAAAUAAAUACAUAAA